GCCGGAUCGUCUGGUCCUUCUCCCGAACCAUUCGCCGCAAGGUGUGCACCUGAGAGUUGGCACUGGCGUACACAUCCUGCAAAAAAGAGGACAUGAAAGUAACCCAACCGACCCUGACGUGGUCCAGCUCCUUGUUGGUUUGCAUCAGCUGUUUCUCCAGUUCCACGAUCUUCAGCAUCGCUUCAUUCUCCACGUCAAGGAGGCGCUCUGACAUCUGGAGACGGAGAGAGAAAGACAGCAGCGUACCCACGUCAAACACGUUGUCCAGGUACGCCUGAAUCUGCACCUGCAGCCUGUCACUCUCUGUGUGCUUCAACCUCUGCAGAGAGACAGACAGACAGGUUUACACUGGGACAGGCAGGUGUUCGUCCAGGUUCAGUUUGGUGAAGUCGUACUGCAGGUGGACUCUGAAGUUCAUGUCCUCCACUGAGUGAACCACGAUGUUAAUGAACUGCAUACAGGCCACCUAGAGAUUGUUACCAUGGCAACAACACACACUUAAACAGCUUGUCAAUCACCUGCUGAAGAUGGCACUGCAAUGAAGCUUUGAUCACAGAGUGUCGAGCAGCUCUGGGCACAGAUGAGGAGGGGGAGGGGAGGCUGCAGUCACCAUGGAGAUCCUCUAUGGACCGACUCCAGGGAGAGUCGAUGGACGAGACAUCCCCUCGGUCCUCCGACUGCUCACCAUCAAACCUGAACACACAAACAGGUCAACACUGACACUCUAUAUGACAUGGAUUUAGGAUGACUAAAUAACGUGUGUGUGUGUUGACUUACGUAACAGCGUACUGAGCAAAGGACAAGUACUCAACAAGAACAUCGAGACCUCGAUUCUCCUCAUUCAAAAACUCUCUGACCCACCUACAGAGAGAGAGAGAGAGAGAGAGAGAGAGAGAGAGAGAGAGAGAGACAGGUAAAGUCAGUCCUGUACCUACAUGCUACAUCGUUGAUUACAGUUGAUAUUGUAUUGUUUAUGUAACAUUCAUGCCAAUAAAGCUUUCUGAAUUGAAUUGACUAGAGAGAGAGAGAGAGAGAGAAGUACAGUUAAUCAGACAUAGAAACAGAGAGUGAGAGACAGUUGGUCAGAUAGACAGGUACCCGAUAUGGUUUGUGCGUAGAGAAAUUUCGAGCUCUCUGAGCAUCUGAGUCGACUCCUGAACUCUUCUUCUGAACUUCUGCAAACAGACGGGGAGGCAGAAAGACCAAUAAUAUUUUUUUAAAAGUUGUAAAAACUGAAACGUAUGAUAUAACUGACAUCAUUGCUGUUGUUGCUAACCCUAACCCUAACCAAUCUACAGACUACAUUUCCCAUCUCACCUUGCGUGUGACUGCUGGGUCCAGGAAGCCUCUCAGUUUUUGGAUGUAGGUGUGUGGAGGGUUCUUCACCUGAAACCUCUCCUGCAUCAAACACACGUUACGACAUGAAGACAUGAAGAUGUUCAAAGCUUCAGGAACGUAGCAGACGCACCUUGUCAGGUGGCAGGUUCAUGGAAUUCUGCAAAAAUAGCAUUUCAUCAUAAAUCUGUAAAACCAACUACCUGCAACUAGAACAACCUGCAACCAGAACAACCUGCAACCAGAACUACCUCCAACUAGAACAACCUGCAACUAGAACAACCUGCAACCAGAACAACCUGCAACCAGAACUACCUCCAACUAGAACAACCAAAAACCUGCAACUAGAACAACCAGAACACCCAACACCCCCCUUUUAUUUAUCACUACACAUACUGAACUACGAACAAUCCCAUUAGCCAACCACCACUAAAUGUUAGCAUGCUAAUAUGUUAGCAUGUCUUUAACAUUUAUGGGUUAGGGUUGUCUGUUGUUUAUCUGUGUUUUGUGUGUGUGUGUGUGUGUGUGUGUGUGUGUGUGUGUGUGUGUGUGUGUGUGUGUGUGUGUGUGUGUGUGUGUGUGUGUGUGUGUGUGUGUGUGUGUGUGUGUGUGUGUGUGUAUGUUGUGAAUUUGUGUGUUUCGUGUAUCUGUGUGUCUCUCUGUGUGUGUGUGUGUGUGUGUGUGUGUGUGUGUGUGUGUGUGUGUGUGUGUGUGUGUGUGUGUGUCGUAUACUUACCAGUGCUAUGGAGAAUCUCUCCUCCAGCUCGGCUGGGUCGGGCAUCGGCAGUCGAACCGGAGCGGCUCUGGACCGAAUCACAGCCAGUUGGCUCUCCAUG